CCUACGGGAGGCUGCAGUAGGGAAUCUUCCACAAUGGGCGAAAGCCUGAUGGAGCAACGCCGCGUGGGUGAAGAAGGUCUUCGGAUCGUUAAACCCUGUUGUUAGAGAAGAAAGUGCGUGAGAGUAACUGUUCACGUUUCGACGGUAUCUAACCAGCAAGCCACGGCUUACUACGUGCCAGCAGCCGCGGUAAUACGUAGGUGUCAAGCGUUAUCCGGAUUUAUUGGGCGUAAAGGGAACGCAGGCGGUCUUUUAAGUCUGAUGUGAAAGCCUUGGGGUUAAACGGAGUAGUGCAUUGGAAACGGGGGGACUUGAGGGCGGGAGAGGAGAGUGGAA
rnacentral:rRNA from 1 species